AUCGCAUGGUGGGGGUUGGAAAGAUUUUUCGGUUUGGGAUGGGCUCGCGGCCUAUCAGCUUGUUGGUGAGGUAAUGGCUCACCAAGGCGUCGACGGGUAGCCGGCCUGAGAGGGUGACCGGCCACACUGGGACUGAGACACGGCCCAGACUCCUACGGGAGGCAGCAGUGGGGAAUAUUGCACAAUGGGCGCAAGCCUGAUGCAGCAACGCCGCGUGAGGGAUGACGGCCUUCGGGUUGUAAACCUCUUUUGGUAGGGAAGAAGCCUUCGGGUGACGGUACCUGCAGAAAAAGCGCCGGCUAACUACGUGCCAGCAGCCGCGGUAAUACGUAGGGCGCAAGCGUUAUCCGGAAUUAUUGGGCGUAAAGAGCUCGUAGGCGGUCUGUCGCGUCUGCUGUGAAAUUCCGAGGCUCAACCUCGGGCUUGCAGUGGGUACGGGCAGACUAGAGUGCGGUAGGGGAGAUUGGAAUUCCUGGUGUAGCGGUGGAAUGCGCAGAUAUCAGGAGGAACACCGAUGGCGAAGGCAGAUCUCUGGGCCGUUACUGACGCUGAGGAGCGAAAGGGUGGGGAGCAAACAGGCUUAGAUACCCUGGUAGUCCACCCCGUAAACGUUGGGAACUAGUUGUGGGGUCCUUUCCACGGAUUCCGUGACGUAGCUAACGCAUUAAGUUCCCCGCCUGGGGAGUACGGCCGCAAGGCUAAAACUCAAAGGAAUUGACGGGGACCCGCACAAGCGGCGGAGCAUGCGGAUUAAUUCGAUGCAACGCGAAGAACCUUACCAAGGCUUGACAUACCCCAGAACGGGCCAGAAAUGGUCAACUCUUUGGACACUGGUGAACAGGUGGUGCAUGGUUGUCGUCAGCUCGUGUCGUGAGAUGUUGGGUUAAGUCCCGCAACGAGCGCAACCCUCGUUNUAUGUUGCCAGCACGUUAUGGUGGGAACUCAUGGGAUACUGCCGGGGUCAACUCGGAGGAAGGUGGGGAUGACGUCAAAUCAUCAUGCCCCUUAUGUCUUGGGCUUCACGCAUGCUACAAUGGCCGGUACAAUGGGCUGCGAUACCGCGAGGUGGAGCGAAUCCCAAAAAGCCGGUCCCAGUUCGGAUUGAGGUCUGCAACUCGACCUCAUGAAGUCGGAGUCG
rnacentral:rRNA from 1 species